rnacentral:rRNA from 1 species
GCGGGACACGUGGUAUCCUGUCUGAAUAUGGGGGGACCAUCCUCCAAGGCUAAAUACUCCUGACUGACCGAUAGUGAACCAGUACCGUGAGGGAAAGGCGAAAAGAACCCCGGCGAGGGGAGUGAAAAAGAACCUGAAACCGUGUACGUACAAGCAGUGGGAGCCUCUUAAUGGGGUGACUGCGUACCUUUUGUAUAAUGGGUCAGCGACUUAUAUUCUGUAGCAAGGUUAACCGAAUAGGGGAGCCGAAGGGAAACCGAGUCUUAACUGGGCGUUAAGUUGCAGGGUAUAGACCCGAAACCCGGUGAUCUAGCCAUGGGCAGGUUGAAGGUUGGGUAACACUAACUGGAGGACCGAACCGACUAAUGUUGAAAAAUUAGCGGAUGACUUGUGGCUGGGGGUGAAAGGCCAAUCAAACCGGGAGAUAGCUGGUUCUCCCCGAAAGCUAUUUAGGUAGCGCCUCGUGAAUUCAUCUCCGGGGGUAG